rnacentral:rRNA from 1 species
CGUCUAUAUACGUAUAGCAUAUCAAUAAGCGGAGGAAAAGAAACUAACAAGGAUUCCCUUAGUAACGGCGAGUGAAGCGGGAAGAGCUCAAAUUUGAAAUCUUCAAGGUUCUACCUUGACGAAUUGUAGUUUAAAGAAGUGUUUUCUGUUAGAGGAGUAGCAAAAGUUCCUUGGAAUGGGACAUCAUAGAGGGUGAGAAUCCCGUAUUUGGUUAUUCUUUCUAGCUUUGUGAUACACUCUCAAAGAGUCGGAUUGUUUGGGAAUGCAGUCCAAAAUGGGUGGUAAAUUUCAUCUAAAGCUAAAUAUUGGCGAGAGACCGAUAGCGAACAAGUACCGUGAGGGAAAGAUGAAAAGAACUUUGAAAAGAGAGUUAAACAGUACGUGAAAUUGUCAAAAGGGAAGCGUUUGACACCAGUGUUGUUUUUCCGAGAAUCAAUUAAGAACGUGCUUGAUUUUGUGUUGUAUUGACCUUAUCAGCUUUCUUCACUCUUUUUCGAGUCUUUCUUAAUGCACUUUUCGGUUAACAAGUCAACAUCAAUUUCUUUUGUUGUAAAAGGGUAUUUGGAAGGUGGCUUUCUUUUCGGAGAAAGUGUUUAUAGCCUUAUACCUCUACAAUCGGAGAGAUUGAGGUCUGCAGCGUAGAUCCUUCGGGGCUAGAUACACUUGUGCUAAGUUAUAGCUUUUCAUAGACAACUUGUUGACUAUGUUUAGUCAUGUAGCUUACCCGCUUGUGCUAUUUUACCUACGCUUAGGAUGUUGAGUCAUCACACAUCUCU